UUGAUAACAUAAGACCCAGACAAGUCAGCGAGCAUGCAACAUUUAUUGUUAUUAUUAAUCAUGUGUAUUCUAUAGAUCAUUUGAAAGAGAUAAACAAAUUAACAGAAAGCUACAAACAUAUGGCAAUGUAUUUACCAAUAAAUAGCACUAUAAACCAAUAUGUUUUAAAUAUUCAAAGCAAGAUACGAAGGCGCAAUUUCGAAAUCAGAUGUCAAAAAAAUUACUUUAAGAAUUUUAUGAAAUAUCAAUAAUAUCCGUUUAAAAGUAACAAUUAUGACGCAAACACAUCUAUAUAUCUUUCUU